rnacentral:rRNA from 1 species
UACGAAGGGGGCUAGCGUUGUUCGGAAUCACUGGGCGUAAGGGGGCGUUGGCGGGUUUUUAAGUCAGGGGUGAAAUCCUGGAGCUCAACUCCAGAACUGCCUUUGAUACUGAGAAUCUUGAGUUCGGGAGAGGUGAGUGGAACUGCGAGUGUAGAGGUGAAAUUCGUAGAUAUUCGCAAGAACACCAGUGGCGAAGGCGGCUCACUGGCCCGAUACUGACGCUGAGGCACGAAAGCGUGGGGAGCAAACAGG